UCUGGGAAGAGGAAGUCACCAGAGCUUCAUUCCGGUCUUUAAGGAGCGUUGUGGAGGACUGUGUCCUCUGUCCUCUUUAUCUACGAAGGACGGGCUCACCAGACUUUUCCGGAAUGCCCAUAUCAGCCUGUUCACUAUGUCAGGUUGGUCUUGCUGAAGCCAGUGGCUACCUUCUGACAAAAUGGAGUAGCGUCGGCGUCGUCACCAUGUGAUGUUUGAGAGGCAGGCAGCUGUGAAAUCAAAAUGCGUUGGCUUGAGAAUCAUCGGGAAAGUUUGAGUAACAUUCUUCCAUAACAUUCAUGGAGAUUGUGCAUUCCUCAAAUACCUCUCGCUAACGGGGUGAAAAUUGGUUCUUGGGAGGGUAGAAGAGCCUUACAUUUUAUUCAUAAAACAUAGAUAUGUAGAGAUUACAAACAUAUUAAAUUUUCAUGGGGCAAGGUGAUUGAGGGGGAAGUGUCUUUAAAAGCUCCCUUGGGAAGUGAUAAUGAAAAAUGGUUAUAGUCAUGCUAAUUAUGCUGAGUGUGUGGGUGAAUGUUAUCUCAGUACUCAAGAGGCAGAGGCAGGACAUCCAUCACUUCAAGUUCGAGGCUAACCUGGGUUACAUAAUGAAUUCCAGGACAACAUUGACCAAAGUUGAGACUCUAUCUCAAAACAAAUUAACAAUGCCAUAAACAAGGAAAGCGAAAAGGGGGAUCUAAUAAAAGCUUGUCAGUAAAGUGAGGGGGCAGCCUGCACUUAUCAUCUGCGGAGGCCAGGGCAGGAAGUGCUCUGGGGUCUGCUGACCUGCCAGCCUAGUCUCAUCCUCAAGCCCCAGCUACCCAGUAAGAACCAGCUCAAAACACAAGGUGUGUGGUUCUGAGCGGGACACCCAGGCUGUCCUCAACACUAAAGGACACACACACCUACACAUACACUCACACACAGAACCAAUCAUCUUUAGAUUUUAUAGAAUGGAAUUUUGUGCAAGGCCAACCAGGGCUACAUAGUGAGACUCUGUCUAAAGAAGAAAACAAAUGAAAAAAAAAAAAAGACAACAUAAUCCAAACAAACAAAACCAUGACUUCUGCCUUCCAUAGGCUUCCUGUCUCCUGGAGAUAAUGGUACUUCCUCCUGGCCAUGAAGGUCUUCCAGGUGGGCAGUUAUAGUAAAAACUAAGAAAGGGCAGAAAGAUAAGAAUGCUUUUCCUCUUAUGGGGAGUUCUUGAUCCUUUGUUGCUGUGGGAUGUUCUGUAUGGCAAAUGUGUUGCUCUGAUUGGUUAGUAAAUAAAACACUGAUUGGCCAGUAGUCAGGCAGGAGGAAGUAUAGGCGGGACAAGGAGAGAGGAGAAUUCUGGGAAGUAGAAGGCUGAGAGAGACACUGCCAGCAGCCACCAUGACUAGCAGCAUGUGAAGAUGCCAGUAAGCCACU